CCUUCCUACGGGAGGCAGCAGGCGCGAAAACUUCGCAAUGUGCGAAAGUACGACGAGGGAAUCCCAAGUGCUUGCACGUAAGUGUAAGCUGUUUCUCUGUUUAAAACGCAGAGAGAGUAAGGGCUGGGUAAGACGGGUGCCAGCCGCCGCGGUAAUACCUGCAGCUCAAGUGGUGGCCGUUAUUAUUGGGCCUAAAACGUCCGUAGCCGGUUUAUUAAAUGCCUGGGUAAAUCGGACCGCUUAACGGUUCGAAUUCCGGGUAGACUGAUAAACUUGAGACCGGGAGAAGUUAGAGGUACUCCUGGGGUAGAGGUGAAAUUCUGUAAUCCUAGGGGGACCACCAGUGGCGAAAGCGUCUAACUAGAACGGGUCUGACGGUGAGGGACGAAGCCCUGGGGCGCAAACGGGAUUAGAUACCCCGGUAGUCCAGGGUGUAAACGCUGCUUGCUUGAUGUUAGUCGGGCUCCGAGCCCGAUUA
rnacentral:rRNA from 1 species